UACGUAGGUCCCGAGCGUUGUCCGGAUUUAUUGGGCGUAAAGCGAGCGCAGGUGGUUUAUUAAGUCUGGUGUAAAAGGCAGUGGCUCAACCAUUGUAUGCAUUGGAAACUGGUAGACUUGAGUGCAGGAGAGGAGAGUGGAAUUUCAUGUGUGGCGGUGAAAUGCGUAGAUAUAUGGAGGAACACCGGUGGCGAAAGCGGCUCUCUGGCUUGUAACUGACACUGAGGCUCGAAAGCGUGGGGAGCAAACAGG
rnacentral:rRNA from 1 species